rnacentral:lncRNA from 1 species
AAACUUAUUAAAACAAUUAGCCCAAAUUCAAACUAAAUAGUAGAAGAAAUCUGAUUAAUUAAUUUGGAUAUUUGGACAAAGAAACAAAAAUAAAAAUGAUUGAUUACGAAUAAAAGUCGGGAAAAAAUUCGCUCGAAAAAUUAAAUCGGAUGCACUAAAAUGAUCAACACGAAAUAUACUUAUUGAAAAAAUACAACGUUUCUU